GGCGGCGUGCUUAACACAUGCAAGUCGAACGAGAAAUGAUAUUACGAUCUCUUCGGAGUGACGAUUUUAUUUCGAGUGGCGGACGGGUGAGUAACGCGUGAGCAACCUGCCCUAUACCGGGGGAUACCAGUUGGAAACGACUGUUAAUACCGCAUAAGCGCACGAUAAGACAUCUUGUUGUGUGAAAAACUCCGGUGGUAUAGGAUGGGCUCGCGUAUGAUUAGCCAGUUGGCGGGGUAAAGGCCCACCAAAGCGACGAUCAUUAGCCGACCUGAGAGGGCGACCGGCCACAUUGGGACUGAGACACGGCCCAAACUCCUACGGGAGGCAGCAGUGGGGAAUAUUGCACAAUGGGCGAAAGCCUGAUGCAGCGACGCCGCGUGAGUGAGGAAGUAUUUCGGUAUGUAAAGCUCUAUCAGCAGGGAAGAAAGAAAUGACGUACCUGA
rnacentral:rRNA from 1 species